AGCUUACCAUGCAAGUCGAACGAGACGGGAUGGAAUGACCCUUCGGGGGAAUGAAAUCCUAGAAAGUGGCGAACGGGUGAGUAACGCGUGGGUAACCUGCCCUAUGGAAAGGAAUAGCCUCGGGAAACUGGGAGUAAUGCCUUAUAAUAUACGAGAGUCGCAUGGCUUUUGUAUUAAACGCUCCGGUGCCAUAGGAUGGACCCGCGUCCCAUUAGCUAGUUGGUGAGAUAACAGCCCACCAAGGCAACGAUGGGUAACCGGUCUGAGAGGGCGAACGGUCACACUGGAACUGAGACACGGUCCAGACUCCUACGGGAGGCAGCAGUGGGGAAUAUUGCGCAAUGGGGGCAACCCUGACGCAGCAAUACCGCGUGAGUGAAGAAGGUUUUCGGAUCGUAAAGCUCUGUUAUUGGGGAAGAAAAAAGACGGUACCCAAGAAGAAAGUCCCGGCUAACUACGUGCCAGCAGCCGCGGUAAUACGUAGGGGACAAGCGUUGUCCGGAUUUACUGGGCGUAAAGGGCACGCAGGCGGUUUUUUAAGUCAGAUGUGAAAGGUACCGGCUCAACCGGUGACAUGCAUUUGAAACUGAAAGACUUGAGUAUUGGAGAGGCAAGUGGAAUUCCUAGUG
rnacentral:rRNA from 1 species